UUCACAAUUGAAGGAACUUUGCUAAAUGGGAUAAACCUGCCUACAGCCCAGGCCUGAGCACAAAACCUAGAGCCUUUACUCACCUUGACUCUCUACAUCCAAACUAACAUCAGCUAGUUACUGUACAGGCAUGGUGGCAGAUUUUUGUACCUGCCUAACACAAAUCUCCUGCUCCCUGUCUUUCUGCACAGCAUCUCCUGUGGUCACAGCUGAGACCCUGUGGUGCCCAGCUGAUCAUUUUUGCCCAGACAUUCUGCAGGACUCCAUCACCCAUCUCGGCAUUCCACAAUAAAGGGACUGGAGGAGGUAACUUCAAUGUUUCACAUGGGAGGCAUUGCUCCGGUGUUUUGUAGCAAUCCUGUAGACCCAAGCCCAGAAGCCCUGCAACACAAGUUCUGCUUGCUGCCAACAGGGAUAACGCAAGGAACUUCCAUGAAACCUCUCCGGAUUCUGAUUUAUCUGCUGAGUGGGGGAUGGAUCAUUAGUGGAGAACAAGUGCCACCAGUGGUGACCAAAAGCUAUGGCCACCUAACCACCCCCUGAAGUGCCUGAUGAAGUACCCAGGAGUGCACAUCUGUUGUGUGAAAACCCUGAUGGUGGGCAGCACUUGGAGCUGUCAUCAGCAACUGGUCCUUUAGUACUUCUUCAAGCAAGUGCUGCAAACACAGGGAGGACAGGACACCCUUUCCCUGCCCCUGCUGUAAAAGUGAUGCACAUAAAUGGGUGAGCUCGAUUGUCCCCUAUUUCAGGCCAACAUCUUUCACAAGCGUUUCAGGAACAGCUUCAAAGGCAUGCAGCUCGAACUAAUGAGAAGCGUACAGGAGGUCAGAAUUACUGUCUAGUCUUGGAAAAAUCAGAAUAUAUAUUCUUUUUUCUUUUUCUGUUUUUAUCAAGCAUUUUUUCUUUAAAAUAGAUAAGCAACUUUUAUA